UGGGGAAUAUUGCACAAUGGGGGAAACCCUGAUGCAGCGACGCCGCGUGAACGAAGAAGGUAUUCGUAUCGUAAAGUUCUGUCCUAUGGGAAGAUAAUGACAGUACCAUAGAAGAAAGCUUCGGCUAAAUACGUGCCAGCAGCCGCGGUAAUACGUAUGGAGCGAGCGUUGUCCGGAAUUAUUGGGCGUAAAGGGUACGCAGGCGGUUUAAUAAGUCGAAUGUUAAAGAUCGGGGCUCAACCCCGCAAAGCAUUGGAAACUGAUAAACUUGAGUAGUGGAGAGGAAAGUAGAAUUCCUAGUGUAGUGGUGAAAUACGUAGAUAUUAGGAGGAAUACCAGUAGCGAAGGCGACUUUCUGGACACAAACUGACGCUGAGGUACGAAAGCGUGGGGAGCAAACAGG
rnacentral:rRNA from 1 species